rnacentral:rRNA from 1 species
UACGAAGGGGACUAGCGUUGUUCGGAAUUACUGGGCGUAAAGCGCACGUAGGCGGAUUUGUAAGUCAGGGGUGAAAUCCCGGGGCUCAACCUCGGAACUGCCUUUGAUACUGCAAAUCUCGAGUCCGAUAGAGGUGGGUGGAAUUCCUAGUGUAGAGGUGAAAUUCGUAGAUAUUAGGAAGAACACCGAUUGCGAAGGCAGCUUACUGGAGAGUAACUGACGCUGAGGCACGAAAGCGUGGGGAUCAAACAGG